AGGACUAUCUGAAAGGGCUUUGACAGGAGCACCACUUUAGUGCCUGAGGCAUCUUUUGCUCUGUCUGACCAAUUUUUUAGCUCAAGAUUUUCUUCUCAGUUACGACAAAAAAAAAAAAAAAUGUCUAACCAAAGACUAUCUGUGCUUUCUCCCCUCCUGUACUUCUGCUUCUUCAGAGAGAGUUUCUCCAUUUGUGAUGGAACAACGUGGACCAAGGUCGGAUGGGAGAUUUUUCCAGAGGAAGUGCACUACCUGAAAGUUAAGGUUCCCCCAUCCAGCUGCCUGCCUUACCCCCUGAACAAACUCUGCUGCAACUCUGCUAACACGGACCUACUACAGAGUUCCUUACACCUCGCUUACAUCUUAGUUCAAGCUCUCUGCUUAAUCCUGUUUGCUUUAUCUGUGCAUUACCUAUGGAUGAAAUGGACAAGACACCAAAAAAAGCUGAAAAAGCAAGCCUCCUUAGAGAAACAUGCUAACAACCUAGACCUGAGCCCAUCCAUCCAUGACAUUGAACAAAUCCUCUGCAGACUACUGGCCACAACAUCAAUGAUGACCAAGUUCCUGAAGCAGAUGUCUCACCAUUCUUCUGUUAAGAAAGCUAAGCAACAACGUAAACUAAGGAAGAAGAAGAGUAAAGACGGAGAGGAACAGGAGAACGCUGCUAUCCCUAAGCUCGUGCAAAUGUAGCUUGGUCAAGUGCGGAGAGGACAAAAGAAAUCUAUUGCAGGGACUGUCUGAGGACACAAAGGUUUCUUUGAUGGCUUGCUCUUUUUUUUUGUCACAAUCAUUACAGAAAAUUUUUCAGACGAGCUCUGGGUUUCUGCUCAACUGAAAAAGAAUCCACUCUUACUAAUGUGGCUCCCAGAAUAAACUGAGAAGACCUUGACUGGAAUUUCAGGAUAUAAUCUGGUGGCAAGGAAACUAAAACUCAGCGAUGCUAAGAAACUUGGCUCAAGGAACACACCCAGUAAUGAUGGAUGUAAGAUACCAACCAACACUGACUCCUGAGCCCCUCCACAUCUGCUAAGAAUAACAGCAACCUGCACUUUGGAACAAUCAGCCUAUGAUUUUAAGGAAUGUUCAUCAAACUCUAAUUACCCUACCUUUAUUGUUAACACAGUUAUCAAAAGC
rnacentral:lncRNA from 1 species